CUCAGCCGAUUGCACACAAGAAAAUCUUGUCAGUGGUCUCUCAGUGCCUGCAUGAUGGUUAAUAAGGAAAAGGCAGAGGAUGAAGGACACACCUAACAUAUAAUUUAAAGUCAGCUUGAUUUGGCAGAAAGUCUUCUAGAAGUUAAGAGACCUGGCUGCUAAUUUGUUCUUUGCCACUGGCUAGCUGUGUAAGCUCAAGCAAACCCCAUUUCUCUUGGGCUUCAUGAGGUGAAAGGAAUGGAUAAGAAAAACAAAAAAACAACAAAAAAAGAAAGGAAUGGAAUAGCUUAAAUCCUCCGGACUUAUUCUGAACAUAGGAAACAGCUUUAUCUCAUGUGCUUGUCUUCUUUUCACCUUCUCUCCCUGUACCUAUCCUGUGAACCUCUGUAGAGUGAUUUUCGCACCACACCCUCCAUUGGUGGCUCUUCCGGGGCUGAUGGUAUUUUCUCCUUGCACCAUCUCAGGGUGUGUUCUUUGGUGUGCUGCUCUUUGGAAGGUACUGUGUUUGCAGGGGGAGUGUCAUUCUCAGAGGGACCCAACCCUCAUUUUUAUAAGCAAAUUGUCUUCAAAUAGGGCUGUAAAUUACGACUUUGAGUCAAAAUUGAUCAAAUACAAAAUGAAAUGUAAGUUUGGAGGAGGUGGUCACUAAGGUACAUUCCAGGCUGUAGACUUCAUGAUGUUUUGAUACUUGAGCAGAGACCUGAGUACAGGUUCCAACUUUAUUAGUUGUAUGACAUUGGGCAAGUUACGUUGCUGCUUUAAGAUAUAGUUGCUUCAUCUGUAAAUGAGGAAAUAAUUUAUUCUUAUUUACAGAUGAAGCAACCACAUGGUAUCUUGUGGAGUUAUUAUGAAGAUUAAAUGGAUUAAUGCAUGCAAAUUGUAUAGCACGGCACUUGACACUCAGUAAAGACUUACCAAUAUUAUAAUCAAUGCACCUGGAGGUGAAGCGCAUUGAUAACUAAAGAAGCCAUCCAACCCUGACUAAGUGCAAGCUUUAAGUCAGCAUUUUACAGAUGUUAAAAAUGCAGAGACAUGAAUGCUGAAGCAUUAUGUUUAAAACAAUUUUUAAACUUUUAGAAUACUCCAUAGAAUUCUAACCUUAUAAACAGCCCUGAGCCCCAGGACUGUCCAGUGUAUUUUAGAAAUAAUAUCCAUCCCCUCUCCCCCAGCUCUCCCAUUAGUGUGGGAUUUCCUCCUUUAGAAUCUUAUUUAUUAGGCCCUAUUUUAAAACAGGUGACUGAAAUUCUAUCAGCACCAGAACCACAAAUAGUGCUGAAAUUAUGCAUACAAUUCUUUAAAAAAUAAAAUCCAGAAGACCAGGGUGAGAGGAAGGAGAGCAGAUUUGUCGUAUAACUGCAAGUGUGGGAAGAAUUUUGGGCUUUCACAAAGGGUUUGGAGAUCUUUACUGAUAAAAUCCUUUGUCUAUUUUUACUAUCGUUUGUUUUUCUCCCCCUUGAUCCAAGCCAUAAAGCAGGGCAGGAGUUGGUUGCUUACCUUCUCACAAACAGGGAAGAAUCUUGUAGUGGCUUUUUCAAGGAUGUAUGCAAGAUUCAUCUCCUCUUCAGGCAGAGACAGUGGCAAGAACAUAAUCAUGUUACUCAGGUCCUUCAAGCCUUCUACAUACAUAUGAAUCCUAGAAAAAGGAUGGUAAUUCAAAAAAAAGUUACAGAUAAAGGGAACUCUCAUUUCACGGGCCAAAGAAACAUUUUAAGUAGUGCCUCAGUUUCACCCGCUUAGCUAUCAAGUGUUCUCAUGGAGCAUUGUUCCAGGAGCUAAAGCCAAGCGUUUUCAGCAGCAUACUGUUCCUUUAGAUCCAACUGGGAGAUAGAAAAGUUGUAGGAUCAAAGUGUGUGAGCAAUUAUAUGUAUGUGACUGUCAAUUAUGUAAGACUAGUGUUAAUAAAAUACAUACACACAAAGUAUUAAAAUAAUCCCAAAGCAGCAAAUUGGGCAAAUAUCAUUUAUGGCUAUUUAGUUGUUGUAAUAAUAGAUCACCCAUGCUGCUACGGAUGAUGCAUGUGGAAGAAGAGGUAAUAAGGACCUCUGCACUGCCAGACACAUCUCCAUCUGGAUUGAAGGUUCUCAAACAUCGUAGAGCAAUUUCAUAGAACACAAAAUUUACACAAGUUCCCACUUGCCACCACCCACAUCUCUGUUGCAGAAUGUAUGGAAACAUGGAUGUUAUAUUUGACAAGAUACCAUGACAUAGUGAGACUACUGGUGUGGGCCUUGGGAAACUUUGGUCUGGGUCCAAGAUGAGUCUCUUAAUCUUUUUGAACCACAGUUCCUUUAACCUACAAUAGCAGUGCAUGUCUUAAAAUGGCCUCAGAUUCUUUGCUACUUCUCCUAUUUAGAGUAAGUUUCAUUCUCCCCUUGAAUCUGAGUGGGCCUCAGAGACUUGCUUGGCCAACAGAAUGUGAGGAAGUAAUGUCCUUAGACUUGUAUGUCUAGGACAUAAGUCUCACAGCUUCCACUGGGUCCUCUUGGAACAUUUGCUCAGAGGCCAACCAGCUACUAUGUACAAAGUCCAACUACACUGAGAACCUCAUGCCAUGUGGAAGCCCAAGCUAGUCCUGUGAAGAAGGCAUGUGGAGAGAGACAGAUGCCCCAUUAGGCCCAUAUGGUCCAGCUAUAUGGCAGAUGUACUUGAUAGCAAUACCCUGAGAAUGGUCCUGUGGUCUAAGAAGAAUUUGUGUUUGGAGUUCCAAGCUAAGGAAUCCAGGAGUGGCCCACCUAGAGAUUCAUUCCUUAUCUAUGAGGAGCAUCUGAACCCCUGGUGCAUCCCAUGGAAUGCAGGCCAUGCAAGGGAUUGAGGCCCUUUGUUCUGGGUUACAUAAAGGUUGCCAGGUGGAGGUUGCAAGGGAGAGGGUGCUAAGUGAAAAUGCCAUAUAACCAGCAUGCUUUUUACAAUGGUAGUUGUUCUCCUGUCCAGCCUGCCACCACUGGACCGCGUUGUAUGUAAGUCCCCUCAAUAAAUCCCAAGUCUUGUUUGCUGGC